rnacentral:rRNA from 1 species
CAUUCCUGGGCAACUGGGAAAGUAAAGUGGCGCACGGGUGAGUAGCACGUGGGUAACCUACCCUUAGAUUUGGGAUAACUCCGCGAAAGCGGGGCUAAUACCAAAUGAUAUUCCGAUUCCCAAGGGAGUUGGAAUCAAAGGUGGCCUCUGCAUGCAAGCUAUCAUCAAAGGAUGGGCCCGCGUACCAUUAGCUAGUUGGUAGGGUAAUGGCCCACCAAGGCGACGAUGGUUAGCUGGUCUGAGAGGAUGGCCGGCCACACUGGAACUGAGACACGGUCCAGACUCCUACGGGAGGCAGCAGUGGGGAAUCUUGCGCAAUGGGGGAAACCUUGACGCAGCAACGCCGCGUGGGUGAUGAAGGCCUUCGGGUCGUAAAGCCCUGUCAGGUGGGAAGAAACGUAUCGGUGAUAAUACCACCGAUAUUUGACGGUACUACCGGAGGAAGCACCGGCUAACUCCGUGCCAGCAGCCGCGGUAAUACGGAGGGUGCAAGCGUUGUUCGGAAUUACUGGGCGUAAAGCGCGUGUAGGCGGUCGGGCAAGUCAGAUGUGAAAGCCUUCCGCUUAACGGAAGAAGUGCAUUUGAAACUACCCGGCUGGAGUACGGGAGAGGAGAGUGGAAUUCCCGGUGUAGAGGUGAAAUUCGUA